CCCUACUUCUUAUACUGUCUCAACUUUCUUAUUGCUUUUGGGAAACUUCCCUUUGUGUGGAGAGACUGGCCUCAGAAAGCUUCCUAUUGACCUUCAAUAUGGGAGGAUACCAGACUGUAUUAGUCUCCUUGGGCGGCUGUAACAGAUUACCAAUGACUGAACGGUCUAAACCACAGAAAUUUAUUUCCCAGCUCUGGAGGCUGGGAAGCCCAAGAUCAAGGUGCCAGCAAGAGACAACAAAAGGGAAGCCUUCCUGUGAUUCACAGAAACAGAGAAACAUCAAGCUCUAGGACCAAGCUCUGAGGACAAGCUCUAGGAUCUAGAUGAAAUAUAGAAAAUAUAAAUGGUCUUUCACAACAGAGGCUCCAGCCAAGAAUCUAGACGAGUAGAUCGAAAAGGUUUUCUUCCCUGCCUUACACCACCUAACAGUUGAACCAGAUGGACCUGAGAAUGUAACCGGAUUUUUCCAUGGAACACUAGCUACUGCAGCUCCUCUGUGAACACUCCAGUAGCUACGCCAGUAGUACUUUUCUUUAAUAAUAGUAACAACAACAAACAAAUAUAUCAAAAACCAAAAAACUAAGUACAUAAGGAAUGAAAGAAAACUUUGAGGGGUAAUGUUCUAUUCCCUUUUUCUUCAAAUGUAUUAUAGAAAUUGUCAAACAGUUGAAUCAUAAAGUUGAAUCAAAAAGUUGUAAUAGAUGGCAGAAUGAAUUUCAUCUAUAUUCACUGGUUGCUAACAUUUUUUGCCUUUUUUCUGAACAAUUUGAAAAUAAAUUGUACAUCCAGAUACCACCAGUGAUUAUUUCAGCAUGCAUCUCCUAAAAAUAAGGACAUACACCUAUAUAACCAUAAUAAUAUUAUCGAUUAUAAAAAUAAUUUCUUAUCCAAUUCAAAUGCAAAUUUCCCCCAAAUACCCCCAAAAUGUCUUUUACAAUUAGAUUUUGUUUUGUUUUAUUCAAUUAGAAUCUAAUCAA